UACGAAGGGGGCUAGCGUUGCUCGGAAUUACUGGGCGUAAAGCGCACGUAGACGGCUUCUUAAGUCGGUGGUGAAAUCCUGGAGCUCAACUCCAGAACUGCCUUCGAUACUGGGAAGCUCGAGUCCGGGAGAGGUGAGUGGAACUGCGAGUGUAGAGGUGAAAUUCGUAGAUAUUCGCAAGAACACCAGUGGCGAAGGCGGCUCACUGGCCCGGUACUGACGCUGAGGUGCGAAAGCGUGGGGAGCAAACAGG
rnacentral:rRNA from 1 species